CCUACGGGAGGCAGCAGUGGGGAAUAUUGGACAAUGGGCGCAAGCCUGAUCCAGCAAUGCCGCGUGAGUGAUGAAGGCCUUAGGGUCGUAAAGCUCUUUUACCAGGGAUGAUAAUGACAGUACCUGGAGAAUAGGCUCCGGCUAACUCCGUGCCAGCAGCCGCGGUAAUACGGAGGGAGCUAGCGUUGUUCGGAAUUACUGGGCGUAAAGCGUACGUAGGCGGUUAUUCAAGUCAGAGGUGAAAGCCCGGGGCUCAACCCCGGAACGGCCUUUGAAACUAGGUAGCUAGAAUCUUGGAGAGGUCAGUGGAAUUCCGAGUGUAGAGGUGAAAUUCGUAGAUAUUCGGAAGAACACCAGUGGCGAAGGCGACUGACUGGACAAGUAUUGACGCUGAGGUACGAAAGCGUGGGGAGCAAACAGGAUUAGAUACCCUGGUAGUCCACGCCGUAAACGAUGAUAACUAGCUGUCCGGGCACUUGGUGCCUGGGUGGCGCAGCUAACGCAUUAAGUUAUCCGCCUGGGGAGUACGGUCGCAAGAUUAAAACUUAAAUGAAAUUGACGG
rnacentral:rRNA from 1 species